GACGAACGCUGGCGGCGUGCUUAACACAUGCAAGUCGAACGGAGAUUCAGCAAUGGAUCUUAGUGGCGAACGGGUGAGUAACGCGUAGGCAAUCUGCCUUCUAGAUGGGGACAACAUCCCGAAAGGGGUGCUAAUACCGAAUGUUGUAGUUGGUUCGCAUGGACUAGCUACUAAAGGUGGCCUUUGAAUAUGCUACCGCUAGAAGAUGAGCCUGCGUCUGAUUAGCUAGUUGGAGGGGUAACGGCCCACCAAGGCUUCGCUCAGUAGCCGGUCUGAGAGGAUGAACGGCCACACUGGGACUGAGACACGGCCCAGACUCCUACGGGAGGCAGCAGUGGGGAAUCUUCCGCAAUGGACGAAAGUCUGACGGAGCAACGCCGCGUGAGUGAGGAAGGUUUUCGGAUCGUAAAGCUCUUUCGUUAGGGACGAACGUGCUCUUUGUGAAUAAUGAGGAGUAAUGACGGUACCUAAAUAAGAAGCCACGGCUAACUACGUGCCAGCAGCCGCAGUAAAAC
rnacentral:rRNA from 1 species